rfam:Paenibacillus sp. DMB20 gs_30, whole genome shotgun sequence.
UUAUUGGAGAGUUUGAUCCUGGCUCAGGACGAACGCUGGCGGCGUGCCUAAUACAUGCAAGUCGAGCGGAGCUGAUGAGGUGCUUGCACCUCAGAUGCUUAGCGGCGGACGGGUGAGUAACACGUAGGCAACCUGCCCUCAAGACUGGGAUAACUACCGGAAACGGUAGCUAAUACCGGAUAAUUUAUUUCGCCGCAUGGCGGAAUAAUGAAAGACGGAGCAAUCUGUCACUUGAGGAUGGGCCUGCGGCGCAUUAGCUAGUUGGUGGGGUAACG